CAUGCAAGUCGAACGGGAAACAUUUCAUUGAGGCUUCGGCGGAUCUGAUCUGUUUCUAGUGGCGGACGGGUGAGUAACGCGUGGGUAACCUGCCUUAUACUGGGGGAUAACAGCCAGAAAUGACUGCUAAUACCGCAUAAGCGCACAGAACCGCAUGGUUCGGUGUGAAAAACUCCGGUGGUAUAAGAUGGACCCGCGUUGGAUUAGCUAGUUGGCAGGGCAGCGGCCUACCAAGGCGACGAUCCAUAGCCGGCCUGAGAGGGUGAACGGCCACAUUGGGACUGAGACACGGCCCAGACUCCUACGGGAGGCAGCAGUGGGGAAUAUUGCACAAUGGGGGAAACCCUGAUGCAGCGACGCCGCGUGAAGGAAGAAGUAUCUCGGUAUGUAAACUUCUAUCAGCAGGGAAGAUAAUGACGGUACCUGACUAAGAAGCCCCGGCUAACUACGUGCCAGCAGCCGCGGUAAUACGUAGGGGGCAAGCGUUAUCCGGAUUUACUGGGUGUAAAGGGAGCGUAGACGGCGCAGCAAGUCUGAUGUGAAAGGCAGGGGCUUAACCCCUGGACUGCAUUGGAAACUGCUGUGCUUGAGUGCCGGAGGGGUAAGCGGAAUUCCUAGUGUAGCGGUGAAAUGCGUAGAUAUUAGGAGGAACACCAGUGGCGAAGGCGGCUUACUGGACG
rnacentral:rRNA from 1 species